AUACCAGCUUUGCAAACCCUUCCUCGGUUCCACGCUCCCAGACAGUUUUCCAGUUUUAGUUUUUCUUUGCAUUUUUUUUCCAGCAGCUUAAGCAUAUUCCUUAUAGUACCUCUUUUAUAAUUGUUAUAUUGUUUCUUUAGCAAUUCUAUUUUCUUUUCUAGCACUUAAUUAAUUUUUCGCACAAUAGUUUCUACACCGGGAACUAUUGUGUACCUUUUGACGGAUCUAACCUUACGUUAGAAUCUAGUUUUUUUAUUCCUUCGUUUUAUUUUUCU
rnacentral:lncRNA from 1 species